rnacentral:rRNA from 1 species
CGGCAGGCUUAACACAUGCAAGUCGAGGGGCAGCACAGGUAGCAAUACCGGGUGGCGACCGGCGCACGGGUGUGUAACGCGUAUGCAACUUGCCUAUCAGAGGGGGAUAACCCGGCGAAAGUCGGACUAAUACCGCAUGAAGCAGGGGCCCCGCAUGGGGAUAUUUGCUAAAGAUUCAUCGCUGAUAGAUAGGCAUGCGUUCCAUUAGGCAGUUGGCGGGGUAACGGCCCACCAAACCGACGAUGGAUAGGGGUUCUGAGAGGAAGGUCCCCCACAUUGGUACUGAGACACGGACCAAACUCCUACGGGAGGCAGCAGUGAGGAAUAUUGGUCAAUGGCCGAGAGGCUGAACCAGCCAAGUCGCGUGAGGGAUGAAGGUUCUAUGGAUCGUAAACCUCUUUUAUAAGGGAAUAAAGUGCGGGACGUGUCCCGUUUUGUAUGUACCUUAUGAAUAAGGAUCGGCUAACUCCGUGCCAGCAGCCGCGGUAAUACGGAGGAUCCGAGCGUUAUCCGGAUUUAUUGGGUUUAAAGGGUGCGUAGGCGGCCUUUUAAGUCAGCGGUGAAAGUCUGUGGCUCAACCAUAGAAUUGCCGUUGAAACUGGGGGGCUUGAGUAUGUUUGAGGCAGGCGGAAUGCGUGGUGUAGCGGUGAAAUGCAUAGAUAUCACGCAGAACCCCGAUUGCGAAGGCAGCCUGCCAAGCCAUUACUGACGCUGAUGCACGAAAGCGUGGGGAUCAAACAGGAUUAGAUACCCUGGUAGUCCACGCAGUAAACGAUGAUCACUAGCUGUUUGCGAUACACUGUAAGCGGCACAGCGAAAGCGUUAAGUGAUCCACCUGGGGAGUACGCCGGCAACGGUGAAACUCAAAGGAAUUGACGGGGGCCCGCACAAGCGGAGGAACAUGUGGUUUAAUUCGAUGAUACGCGAGGAACCUUACCCGGGUUUGAACGCAUUCGGACCGAGGUGGAAACACCUUUUCUAGCAAUAGCCGUUUGCGAGGUGCUGCAUGGUUGUCGUCAGCUCGUGCCGUGAGGUGUCGGCUUAAGUGCCAUAACGAGCGCAACCCUUGCCACUAGUUACUAACAGGUAAAGCUGAGGACUCUGGUGGGACUGCCAGCGUAAGCUGCGAGGAAGGCGGGGAUGACGUCAAAUCAGCACGGCCCUUACAUCCGGGGCGACACACGUGUUACAAUGGCGUGGACAAAGGGAAGCCACCUGGCGACAGGGAGCGAAUCCCCAAACCACGUCUCAGUUCGGAUCGGAGUCUGCAACCCGACUCCGUGAAGCUGGAUUCGCUAGUAAUCGCGCAUCAGCCGUGGCGCGGUGAAUACGUUCCCGGGCCUUGUACACACCGCCCGUCAAGCCAUGGGAGCCGGGGGUACCUGAAGUCCGUAACCGCGAGGAUCGGCCUAGGGUAAAACUGGUGACUGGGGCUAAGUCAUAACAA